UUGAACGCUGGCGGCAGGCCUAACACAUGCAAGUCGAACGGUAACAGGAAGCAGCUUGCUUCUUCGCUGACGAGUGGCGGACGGGUGAGUAAUGUCUGGGAAACUGCCUGAUGGAGGGGGAUAACUACUGGAAACGGUAGCUAAUACCGCAUAACGUCGCAAGACCAAAGAGGGGGACCUUCGGGCCUCUUGCCAUCGGAUGUGCCCAGAUGGGAUUAGCUUGUGGUGGGGUAACGGCUCACCAGGCGACGAUCCCUAGCUGGUCUGAGAGGAUGACCAGCCACACUGGAACUGAGACACGGUCCAGACUCCUACGGGAGGCAGCAGUGGGGAAUAUUGCACAAUGGGCGCAAGCCUGAUGCAGCCAUGCCGCGUGUAUGAAGAAGGCCUUCGGGUUGUAAAGUACUUUCAGCGGGGAGGAAGGGAGUAAAGUUAAUACCUUUGCUCAUUGACGUUACCCGCAGAAGAAGCACCGGCUAACUCCGUGCCAGCAGCCGCGGUAAUACGGAGGGUGCAAGCGUUAAUCGGAAUUACUGGGCGUAAAGCGCACGCAGGCGGUUUGUUAAGUCAGAUGUGAAAUCCCCGGGCUCAACCUGGGAACUGCAUCUGAUACUGGCAAGCUUGAGUCUCGUAGAGGGGGGUAGAAUUCCAGGUGUAGCGGUGAAAUGCGUAGAGAUCUGGAGGAAUACCGGUGGCGAAGGCGGCCCCCUGGACG
rnacentral:rRNA from 1 species